AUGUCUGUCUCCUUUCAUUCUCACAGGCCUUUGGCAGAUGAAGUAUAAUGUUUGGAACUGAUUCCACCUGCUGCCUCAACAACUCAGUGAAGACACCUCAGAGAUGAUGCUGAACCAUCCUGUUGAUAAGCAGUAAACACACAACAUACAGUCUUGUUAUAUAUUUGAACCCAACCCAGCAGACUGUAAUGCGGUUUGGGCUGUGCAAGAACUGACCUACAGGGGAUGCUAUAAUCACAGGAGGACCAACCAAGGCAGCUGUAGGACAAUCUACACUUGCAAGUCACAGCUACACCUGCUACUACUUGGCGAUACCCUGGGAAAACUUGAAUGGAUGCAAAAUGUUGAAUUGAACAUGUGGGUCCUGUUUCAAUGGCAAAUGGACCUUGGCUGGAACUGGCCUCAGUCAUGACUGCAGCUGACAGUCCUGGUAAAACUAAA